rnacentral:tRNA from 1 species
GGGGAUGUAGCUCAGUUGGUAGAGUGCUUGCCUUGCAUGCAGUAAGGCCAUGGGUUCAAUCCCCAGCACCA